rnacentral:rRNA from 1 species
UCCUACGGGAGGCAGCAGUAGGGAAUUUUCGGCAAUGGAGGAAACUCUGACCGAGCAACGCCGCGUGAAUGAAGACAUAUUUCGGUAUGUAAAGUUCUUUUAUUAGGGAAGAAUAGCCCAUGGAAAAAUGGGUGUGACGGUACCUAAUGAAUAAGCCCCGGCUAACUAUGUGCCAGCAGCCGCGGUAAUACAUAGGGGGCAAGCGUUAUCCGGAAUUAUUGGGCGUAAAGGGUGCGUAGGCGGCCAUUUAAGUCUUUGGUAUAAGUGCAGUGCUUAACGCUGUGAUGCUAAGGAAACUGAAUGGCUUGAGUGAGAUAGAGGCAAGUGGAAUUCCAUGUGUAGCGGUAAAAUGCGUAAAUAUAUGGAGGAACACCAGUGGCGAAGGCGGCUUGCUGGGUCUACACUGACGCUGAGGCACGGAAGCGUGGGGAGCAAACAGGAUUAGAUACCCUGGUAGUCCACGCCGUAAACGAUGAGUACUAAGUGUUGGAGAAAUUCAGUGCUGUAGUUAACGCAAUAAGUACUCCGCCUGAGUAGUACGUACGCAAGUAUGAAACUCA